GCAGUCGUGGCCGAGUGGUUAAGGUGAUGGACUAGAAAUCCAUUGGGGUCUCCCCGCACAGGUUCGAAUCCUGUCGACUACG
rnacentral:tRNA from 1 species